rnacentral:lncRNA from 1 species
AAAAUGAGAUGUUUUUGAAUUUCCAAGAAUAUACAUGGGGGAGGGAAUUUCUUAACAAUCCAACUAAAUCCACUCCCAAAAUAACCAGAUGGCCAUUGACGAAUUUACUGGAAACGCACAAGAUUAUAGAUAUACCAAUACAGCUGGUGCAAACAGAGGAUCCUGGACCUUCAUGCAUUACUGAAAUGUUAGAAAGUGAAGGCUUAAUAAGAGAAGUAUGAUUUCCUUUGCAUUCACUUCUUAAAAGUACAUAAAUCUUAGUUUCUCUAUUUUUUGUGAUAUUUUCACAUUUCUUGAUUGGUGUGAAAAAAAUAUUUUUCCUCACUAGUGAAAUAUCUUAGCAAGUUAAAUGACUGGUCGACAUUUUAUUAUGAUGUAAAAUUUUCUUGGUUUCUUCUGAAAUUUCGUAUUUGUGACGUCAUGUUAAAAGAUGACCAUGUCUGAUGACGUUGUAUAUAAAGAACACAAUUUUCUACAAAUCUUUGAAAUGGAAGGAUAAAAAUCAUAAGAGAAACAGAUUUCAUCACUUUAAAUCGUGUAUGAUGAUAUUUGUUCACUCUGAACAGUUGAAUUGUGAUUAUUUAAAAAUCUCUUCAAGCCUCAUUUUUUUUAAAUAUUUUAAAAAACUGUGACUGUAUUAAGUGCAGAAAUAUCAAAUCACACUCGUUGCACUGGUGAAAUCUAUAUUUCUGUUUCUAGAUAAGGUUGUUCAAAAUGCCAGAACUCAGAAUAUACCAAAAAGUGAAGUCACAAAAAAUUAUCACAUCUCAAUUCAUUGUUUAAAAAUAUUGAAAGAAUAGUCUCACCAUAAACCAAAUAUCAGCCUUAUCAAGAAUAUCUUUCCACUAGAACUGGAAAAAGGUGUAUAAGGAACUCUUUAGUGUACAAUUCUUGCCUGAUUAUAAUAAAACUCAUAUCAAAGUUAGGAUUAGCAAUAUCUUGGUAAGUUCAAAAAUCAGUGCCGAGGAUUAAUAAUGUUAUUGAGUAAUGCCUCUUGGAAACAUUAAAUAUACUAGAAGAUGCCUGCAAAAUCGUGGUACAAUAUUGGGCAAGUGUUGAACCAAAACAGUUUUUAAAUUGUGUGUGUACAGUAUGUCGACUGAGCAUGCACGAAAGCGUUUAAGAAACCAAUCAAUAAUGGUCUCUAAAUUUGAAUAUUUUCUUUAAAAUUGGCGUUUUCUGUUAAACAGAUUGUUUCAAAAACAUAUUUAGAAAGUACAAAUAUUAUACAUUCAUUCGUUAUAUUGCAAAUAUUUCAGACCUUGUAUGGUGUCAGAGGAGUUGUGGCUCAACGGAAUAGGUCUCGUCCUUCAGUAGUAUAGAUGGAAAAUUACAUUUUUUGUGCUCUCUUGCCAGAGUUUUUAUAAAACUUAUAUCAUAGUUUCAUAUGAGCAAUGUAUAGAUCAAUUUGAAAAAUCAUUGCGGAUGAAAUAUUUUCAAAAGAGUUUAAGGCAUUUUCAAAUUUUUUCCCAAAAUGCAUUGCAUUUUAUCUCAAACCUUCAUUUCUCAGUGAUAUUUAUGAAAAUUAUGUUCCUUUAACGAUUGAGAUUUUAUUGGUUUACCAUUUAUUUUGUGAGAUAGUAAUUUUCUGGAUAUUCUAUUUUAAGAUUAAGACAAAGAAAAAAAAGAAAGAGAAAGGACUAAUUCUAUAUUCAUCUGUAACAAGUAUGCAGUAUUGCUGGUUUACAGUCAGAUGCUUAACGUGACUUCAGCAGGAUUUUCCACGGAAAUCAGGAUGCAAGAUGUUUUACAGCUUUUAUAUGAUAUUUUUUUUUUGAAUCAAUAGAGCUAAUAGAAAUGCAUAAUAAAUCCUUUUAUACUUAAGAAAAGAGGAACUGCAGUAUACCAGAUCAAAGAACAAAUGAAGGCAUUUAGAUUUAAGAAAUUAUCUUUUGAAUUAUGUAACUAUUGAAUUGUGUCAACAUGCUAUUAUUAUUAUUGUUGGCUUUUGGCCAUUAAGAAGAAAUAAGGUUAAUAUUGGAUCGAA